CCCACGUUGACGUAUACCUGGGUCGUGGGGGUCUUGCAAAUCGAACACCACGUAGGAGUCUGCACACCAUUGUGUGUCUCCCUAUCGGUGCACCUUCUAACCCGUGAUGUCCAGCCGAAAUCGCUGACCUAUAGCCAUUAAUAGUCCGGUAUGCUAGACCUUGCUCGAAUAACCAUGUCAAGAAACGUAGAAUGCUGUUCAAAGGAGCACAUACGGGAUCCACUUGUUGUU